rnacentral:misc_RNA from 1 species
CUUUUGGAUGAGAGCUACGCAGAUAAGGGAGUGGAGGAUUUGCCUCAGGCUAUCAAGGUGGCUUUAAAAGAAUCUAUGAGAGAAAACUCAACUUCUACCUUUGAGCUUAUUAGAUGCAAGCUGAUUUUGUUUUAUGAUUACUGGCAGAUGAAUGAGGUCUUGGAGGGCUUGCUACCACAAGGUAUGAUUGUUCCAUCAGCUUUCGAAACAAUUGGGCACAUUGCACACCUGAACCUGAGAGAUGAGCAUCUUCCCUACAAGAAUCUUAUAGCAAAGGUAGUUUUGGAUAAAAACAAG